UCUUUGUUAGUGUAUCGGUUAGUAUACGCGCCUGUCAUUUAUUUGAAAUUGUACGCGCGAAAUCUGGGUUCGACUCCCAGACAGAGAG